rnacentral:lncRNA from 1 species
GUAUAGAGAUUGUAAUUUAUGUUUAACAUUUGAGUUUGAAAAUAUUAGUUUUGGUGUUUGGAUUUAUGAUUUAGGGUAUUAUGUUUAGGUGUAAAGUGUAUGGUUUGGAAUAUAGUUUCAAGGUUAGAUUAAAGAUUUAAGAGUAAAACCUGAAAAAUAUUAAUUUUUGAAUUUAAGUUUGAGAUUUAAAGUUAAAAUAAGAGUUUAAGAUUUUUAUUUAGAGUUUAGGGUUUUAAAAGUAUAUUUAGGGUUUAGUAUUUCAAAUUUUAGUGGCUAAUUCGUGAUAAAAUUGUGGCUUUUCUACACAGCCACGGAAAAUUUAGUGGGCAAACCGUAGCAAAAAAGAUAUUUUUUACAAAUUAGCUACGAUUACAAGGACGUUUAAUUUCGUAGCAGUUUGCCACGAAAAUUCGGUAGCAAAAUCAUGGCUAUAGUUUGCUACGUUUUAACUCGUGGCAGUUUCGUGACUUUUCUUGCUACGAUUUACAUACGAAUUGCUAUGUUUCAUAUUUCAUGACAUUUUAGUGGCAUUUUUGUGGCUUCUUUUGCAACAUUUUAUUUUCAUAGUAUUUUCGUAGCAUUUUCAAAUUUGCCACGAAAAUUUCGUAGGUAU